CAGGCAUUACAAGCGCAAGUUCUUCAAUUGCAAAAGGAUAAUGAGAGAUAUAGGUGUAUGGAAAAGUGCAGUUCACAGUUGAAAGAAACUAGUGAGAAAGCCAGUAUCAAUUGUCAAAAUAAAUUUCCCGAGGUAAUUAUAUAUGUUAUUUUGAAAUUAAAAUAGCACAUUUAUGUUAAUUGAAAUAUAUACACAUUAAAAGUAACUAUUUAUUAUUGGUUUAGGGCAUUUCAUCUUGUCAGCUAUACUUAUCGUCACCGACUUAUCGCCUAGUUGGCAAGGAAAAAGUGCACAACACUUCGGGAGAAUUACUUCACCAUAAUCCCCUCCNUCCUAGCAAUCAAGAAGUGAUGGAGACGUUGCAGGCAUUACAAGCGCAAGUUCUUCAAUUGCAAAAGGAUAAUGAGAGAUAUAGGUGUAUGGAAAAGUGCAGUUCACAGUUGAAAGAAACUAGUGAGAAAGCCAGUAUCAAUUGUCAAAAUAAAUUUCCCGAG
rnacentral:lncRNA from 1 species